GACUGUAUCCAUCCGACAGGUACGUUCCUGAGCCCUAGAGAGCAUCACAAUCUAUGCUGAAGUCACUUGGCCAGGAUUCAACGCCAAGUCUGAGUCCAGAGAUCAGAACCCACUGCAUCUCAACAGGCUGUUUCCCAGAUUGUAAGUGAAAAGACAGCCAAGAUACCAUAAAAACCUCUUCUCUAGUGGGGUUUAUUAAAUGUAUUUAUGUAUGCCUAGAACCAGAGGAAAGUCCAGCUGGGGUUAAGGGUCUAGAAUCAGUAACACUCCCAAGCCCGUUGGGGACUUAGCCAAUCGGAUUCAUGUUCCACGUGACUUGUCUCACUUGAAAUUAACCAAGGCAGCCUGCUCUGUUUGUUUUAUUUUUUAACUUCGGUUUUUCGGUUGCGCUGCACACACGUAGGAUCUUAGUUCCCUCACCAGGAAUCGAACCCAUACCUCCUGUG
rnacentral:lncRNA from 1 species